AGAGUUUGAUCAUGGCUCAGGGUGAACGCUGGCGGCGUGCCUAAUACAUGCAAGUCGAACGAGGUGCUUUUGUAGCAAUACGAGAGUAUCCUAGUGGCGAACGGGUGAGUAACGCGUUGGUGACCUACCCCAAAGUGUGGGAUAACAGUCCGAAAGGAUUGCUAAUACCGCAUGUGGUCUUCGGAUUUAGAAACUGAUGACUAAAGGAGCAAUUCGCUUUGGGAGGGACCUGCGUCCCAUCAGCUAGUUGGUGAGGUAAUGGCUCACCAAGGCUACGACGGGUAGGGGACCUGAGAGGGUGACCCCCCACAAUGGAACUGAAACACGGUCCAUACACCUACGGGUGGCAGCAGUAGGGAAUAUUGCACAAUGGGCGAAAGCCUGAUGCAGCAACGCCGCGUGUGCGAUGAAGGACUUCGGGUCGUAAAGCACUUUUCUGGGAGAUGAGCAAGGACAGUAUCUCAGGAAUAAGUCUCGGCUAACUACGUG
rnacentral:rRNA from 1 species